rnacentral:rRNA from 1 species
GACGAACGCUGGCGGCGUGCCUAAUACAUGCAAGUUGAGCGAUGAAGCUUGGUGCUUGCACCAAUUUGAAGAGCAGCGAACGGGUGAGUAACGCGUGGGGAAUCUGCCUUUGAGCGGGGGACAACAUUUGGAAACGAAUGCUAAUACCGCAUAAUAACUUUAAACAUAAGUUUUAAGUUUGAAAGAUGCAAUUGCAUCACUCAAGGAUGAUCCCGCGUUGUAUUAGCUAGUUGGUGAGGUAAAGGCUCACCAAGGCGAUGAUACAUAGCCGACCUGAGAGGGUGAUCGGCCACAUUGGGACUGAGACACGGCCCAAACUCCUACGGGAGGCAGCAGUAGGGAAUCUUCGGCAAUGGACGAAAGUCUGACCGAGCAACGCCGCGGGAGUGAAGAAGGGUGUCGGAUCGUAAAACUCUGUUGGUAGAGAAGAACGUUGGUGAGAGUGGAAAGCUCAUAAAGUGACGGUAACUACCCAGAAAGGGACGGCUAACUACGUG